rnacentral:rRNA from 1 species
UGGGGGAUAUUGCACAAUGGGCGAAAGCCUGAUGCAGCGACGCCGCGUGAGGGAAGACGGUUUUCGGAUUGUAAACCUCUGUCUUCGGGGACGAAAAUGACGGUACCCGAGGAGGAAGCCACGGCUAACUACGUGCCAGCAGCCGCGGUAAUACGUAGGUGGCAAGCGUUGUCCGGAAUUACUGGGUGUAAAGGGAGCGCAGGCGGGACAGCAAGUUGGAUGUGAAAUACCGAGGCUUAACCACGGAGCUGCAUCCAAAACUGUUGUUCUUGAGUGAAGUAGAGGUAGGCGGAAUUCCGAGUGUAGCGGUGAAAUGCGUAGAUAUUCGGAGGAACACCAGUGGCGAAGGCGGCCUACUGGGCUUUAACUGACGCUGAGGCUCGAAAGUGUGGGGAGCAAACAGGAUUAGA